AGCUUGCCGGGCCGCCGUUGGGUUGAGGUGAAUUUGUGCGGUCAGGGAGUUUGCUAGGCAGGUGUAGGGAUGAAGUGCGAGGACAGGGGUAGAAUUGGGUUGCUAUGGGAAGUAGUUCGAGUCUAGUUUUGAGUGUAGAAGACUUCCUUCAAGUCCUGGAAGCGUGGUUGCUGAAUUAAGAGCCCAGACAAUUACUCUUGGGAAGCACGGCACUAGAUUCUAUCUUUGAAUCAAACUGGGCCUGUUGUAAAGACACAUACCAAUGGAGCAUGGAUCCUGACUUAAGUCUAAAUUCUGUUCAUCAAGCUCUGCGGUCCCCAACCCUCAGGCAAGUUAGGGACUGGGCUGCUGAGGCCCACACCCCUAGCCUGUCCGUGGAAACGGGGGAGCCGGCCCCCAUAUACAGCAGGAGGUGAGCGGCAGCAAGCCAAGUUUUAUCUAUAUUUACAGCUACUCCCAUUGCUGCCAUCAGCACCUGACCUCUGCCUCCUCCUGUCCCCCUACCAAAAUAGGGGGACACAAUCCCACCUCCCCACACCCUCACCUCCUUUCCCUGACAGUGGGAAAAUUAUCUUAUGUGAAAUCCCUCAAAAUGUUAGGGACUGCUAUCAAGCUGGAAGGUUCUGAUUUCUCCCUGGUCGGGGCAGGGUCAUUUGGGAACACUGCACAUUGUCACACUUUCCUCACUGGCCCAGUCCAUGAACUCAAUUUUUUGGAGUCUUAUUGUGUGUACUGAUAUGAUUAAAAACUGAAAGGUGUUUGCUAUAGGUUCAGUUGCCCCUCCUCCUCUCUUUCACAUUUUGAAGCCCUAACCCCCAAUGGGACUAAAUUUGGAAACAGGGCUUUUAGGGGGUGAUUAAGGUUAAAUGAGGUCAAAAAUGUUCUAAUUGUGUAGGAUUGGUGGCUUUAUAAAAAGAAGAAGAGAGAGCUCUCCCACCAUACCCAGGCACUGAGGAAGCACACAGCAAGAGGGCGACAUCUACAAACCAGGAAGAGAGGCUUCACCAGAACCUGGCCAUGUUGGCACCCUGAUCUCAGACUUCCAGCUUCCAAACUGUGGGAAAAUAAAUUUCUGUUGUAUAUGACACCCAGUCUGUGGUAUUGAGGGAAAAAAAAUGUUUAAAUGAGGAAUGUGAACCCUUUCAAAUUAUUAGUCCCAGAGAGGCAUUAAAUGAGACAGUAAUCACAUCCUACUUUCGCCUUUUAAUGUAUGAAUUCAUUAAUUUGCUCUAGCAGCUGUGAAUUAACCUAAUAAUGCCUCACUGGACAUUAUAUCCCAUACACUUUAGUUUAACAAUGCAUAACCAAUCACUAAUAAACAUUAUUUCUAUAAACCAAUGAGAAUUCCUGACAGAAUUUUGUAUCAGACCCUUCCCUGUACCAUUUUUAUUUAUUUAUUUAUUUUUUGCCUUUAAAAACCUGCCUGUAACACAGGACAAUGGAGCUCAUAUCCAAGAUUACUUGGGUCUGGGUCUGAAUCUUCCCAGCAGUUGUCCUUAUUUUGACUCAAGUAAACUUAUUUUGUGCUUCAGGGUCUUCCUUUUAGGUCAACAGUAUUUUGUUAUGGUAGUCCAAGCAAACAAAAAGGCUAUGUUACUCUAGUCUCAGUAAGAAAUCAGAACAUCAGACAACAGUGCUUUGGAACCUGUGUAAUGAUAUGUAACCUCAAUGGUUAGAGAUCGCUGUUCUCAAAAGUUCAGUGAAAACGUGGUACAGCUUCAAUUCAAAAGGGCCCUUCAGCAGCCUUAGUAGUUUUAGCACAACCUAGCAGCUUCAAGGCAAUGUAAUGUUGGCAUCUGGAUGCCAGUACCUCCUGCAGUAAUGAACAAAGCAACCCUAGUCCACACGCUGCACUCUGGCAGCCUUGACACAGACGUGGUAAUCAUCCUGAGCAGCACCUUUUAACCUGUAUGAGCAAUAGCAGUGAUCCUAUCCUGGCUCGUGUGUUGCUGGGGGAGGGGUGGA